AAUCCGGUUGAUCCUGCCGGACCUGACUGCUAUCGGAUUGAUACUAAGCCAUGCGAGUCAUUGUAGUAAUACAAGGCAGACGGCUCAGUAACGCGUAGUCAAUCUACCCUAUGGACGGGAAUAACCUCGGGAAACUGAGAAUAAUGCCCGAUAGAACACUAUGCCUGGAAUGGUUUGUGUUCCAAAUGAUUUAUCGCCGUAGGAUGGGACUGCGGCCUAUCAGUUUGUUGGUGAGGUAAUGGCCCACCAAGACUAUUACAGGUACGGGCUCUGAGAGGAGUAGCCCGGAGAUGGGUACUGAGACACGGACCCAGGCCCUAUGGGGCGCAGCAGGCGAGAAAACUUUGCAAUGUGCGAAAGCACGACAAGGUUAAUCCGAGUGGUUUCUGCUAAAGAAACCUUUUGUCGGUCCUAGAAACACCGAUGAAUAAGGGGUGGGCAAGUUCUGGUGUCAGCCGCCGCGGUAAAACCAGCACCUCAAGUGGUCAGGAUGAUUAUUGGGCCUAAAGCAUCCGUAGCCCGCUUUGUUAGUUUUCGGUUAAAUCUGUGCGCUUAACGUACAGGCUGCCGGAAAUACUGCAAAGCUAGGGAGUGGGAGAGGUAGACGGUACUCGGUAGGAAGGGGUAAAAUCCUUUGAUCUAUUGAUGACCACCUGUGGCGAAGGCGGUCUACCAGAACACGUCCGACGGUGAGGGAUGAAAGCUGGGGGAGCAAACCGGAUUAGAUACCCGGGUAGUCCCAGCUGUAAACUAUGCAAACUCAGUGAUGCAUUGGCUUGUGGCCAAUGCAGUGCUGCAGGGAAGCCGUUAAGUUUGCCGCCUGGGAAGUACGUACGCAAGUAUGAAACUUAAAGGAAUUGGCGGGGGAGCACCACAAGGGGUGAAGCCUGCGGUUCAAUUGGAGUCAACGCCAGAAAUCUUACCCGGAGAGACAGCAGAAUGAAGGUCAAGCUGAAGACUUUACCAGACAAGCUGAGAGGUGGUGCAUGGCCGUCGCCAGCUCGUGCCGUGAGAUGUCCUGUUAAGUCAGGUAACGAGCGAGAUCCCUGCCUCUAGUUGCCACCAUU
rnacentral:rRNA from 1 species